CCCGCUCUCGGUGGCAGGAGCGUUGGAUUUCGACGAGUACCGGUUGACCCCAGCGCAGGAAGGCAAGUACGUCUGCAUCCAGCAGCCCCACGCCGGGGAUUUUUGGGGGGGUGGGUAUGUAUUUGGGGGGGGGACUGCUCACCCCUCUGUGCCCUUCCCCCCCCCCCCCCCCCCCCCCCCCCCCCCCCCCCCCCCCCCCCCCAUCCCUGCUCCUCCCCAGGACCCAAGAGGAGCCGGAGUAAAGCUUUCCGUAUCCCUGGGUUGAGCCGCAAGGAGAGGGAUCGUGACGCUGUGGAUUCCCCGGAUGCCGAGGUGGGCUGCCCGGAGGUGGAUGAGGACGGCUUCACCGUGCGCCCCGACAUCGCCCACAGUAUCCUUGUGCUGGGGGGGGCUGCGGGGCGUGAUUUUUGGGGUGUCCCAGUGCUGGGUGUUGCCUUGACGGGGGCUCAGCCGAGGCGGAGAACCACGUCUGCCCCUCCAGCGACUCCGACUACGACGAGGACGAACCCCGCAAGUUUUACGUCCACAUCAAGCCGGUGCAGCCCCGGGAGGCGGCCGGCAGCGCCGAGGCCACCAUGGAGCAGCUCAAAGCCACCGUGGGGAACCUCAUCCUGCCCCCCAGUAUUGGGGUGAGCCUGGAA
rnacentral:lncRNA from 1 species